CCUAAAUCUCUCAAUCGCCACAUUCUUCUCCUUCACGCCUGUUGUUCAUCCUCCCCCUUCUGCUUCAACUUCCCGACGUUGAUUCUAUCAACAAACCCUAAUGAACAAUAUACCCAAUCAAACCGUUAUUUAGUUUCUUCAUUCCUUUUUCAAACCCUAAAACUUCAGCCGUACAGAGAUUGAAGAGUAGCAGAUGGAGGUUGGUUCUGGGUGGAGAUGGUAGAGGAAGCGGUAUCUUUUGUGGGUAGUUCCUGAUUGGUGACCCUAAAACAGGUGAUAUCCUGCUUAGAUCGGAAAGUGCGUGUAUUGUUCCGGCCAAAUCACGACGGGUAAGAAGGUGUUUUCCGGAACAUAAAGAGGCUGAAGUGUCGCAGAAUAUAAAUUGAUAUUUGAUUUUCGUGCAUAGUAUCAACAGAUACGAGUCAUCUUUCUCUCGAUAGCCUCCAACCCGAAUCAUUGAUUGGUUUUGUUCUUCUCGAAUGUAUCUCAAACAUGAUAUUAUGAAUAUUAUUGUAUGAAGGUGUUAAUCGUUACAAAUAAUGGAGAUUUAUGUUUGUUGCAGGGGAUUAGUUUAGUUUGUGACACAGAAUAACCGGUUACUCUUGUACGUACACAAACUGAAGAGUCAAUUUGGGGAAUAUCUAUGAGAAAUCUAUAACUUCUAGGAUGAUGAUAUUGACAAGGGUCUGUUCCAUUGUGACAAUUGUGGAAUCUAUAGAGUUGCUGACCGUGAGUACUACUUCCAUUGCAAGAAAUUUGAAUGUAUAGGACAUUUUUUGUAUGUGUGUUAGUGCAGUGCGGAUUCAUAAUUUUUUACCGGGCCAGGUAACAGAAAAUAGCCAGAAUUGAGAAAAAAUUCAACAUUAAUGUAUACUUUAUGAUCAAGAAAUACACUGUAUUUGUAAAGCGAGACCAUGGAUUGGGUGGCAAACACGGUAGAUCGAAGAAGUUCGGGGAGAGUUCAAAAACUGAAAAAGAUGCUAGCUACUACCUGGUGGACUCUCGAACAUGGAAAACAUUCCGACGAAGUUUGUAGACAAGCAAAAACUUGAAACCUAGUAACUUCUGAAUGGCUAAUUUUGUUUUAAAUUAGGACUUUAUAGUGUUAUUCAUUUACUUUUCAAAUGAUUAUUAUGAUUUGAAAUAGUGUAGACAUGGACUUGAUUAUGAUUUUCCAUCGUGUGUUUUUUUUUUUUCAGGAACCAACAACACAACUGAUUUUGGGUUACAAGUCUUCAUUCAAGUAGAUCUCUGUCGCUGUGUCAGAUCGUUGCGUUAUUUCUAACAGAAUGAGCAAAUCUCCGCUACCUUAAAGACGACCAGAUCUCUGUCAUUUUUGUUGUUUUUUGUUGAGACGUGGAAGACAAAAGAAUUAGCAGAUCGACCCGUUGCAGAUUGUCGGCUAUUUCUAAAGCGGUGAUUGUCUAAAUGAAUCGGAAUGAUGGUGAUUCAAUUUGGCGAUUAUUGAGAUCUAUAGUAAGAAUCCUCCGAUUAGGUUAAACUUGAUUGUUAUAGAGUGAAGAAUUGGAACCUGAAUUGCCCAAAUAAUUUAGGCUUCGAGACAUCAGUUUGGGAACCUGAAUAUGAAUUCAUUAAAAAUAAGAGUGAAGAUUGUUAUUUUUAAUAACAAUGAAGAUUGUUAUUUUUAUAACAAUGGUCUCCUUUUAAUUAACUCAUACUAUCUUUCUUUUAUUUUAUUUGUUGUUUGAUUUUAUGUGUUGGGAACAGUGUUGAUUAGGUUAUAGUGAAAUGGUUAAACUUGGUGACUUGUAGAGUAAUCAUAAUUGUCCUACUCAGUAUGCUUUUUAUUAGUUGUUCUUUGAAACCGAGUGAAUUUGGUGGUUGUAUAUAUAUUAUACUCACUUUUGAUUGUGCUCAGAUGCUAAACGAAACACAAUACCAAACACUCCACCAUAAUGCAAAACUACACCGGGCAUUGCACGCCUGCAUCACCACUCACAACGUUUUUUCAGUUGAUCGUUUGAGGCAACUCUUGAUUCUUCAAACCGUCAAAAGGCAGGGGCUGAGUUCUUUGAAUUGGCGGGGGACAUCGAUAGAGAUUCGUCGAUGGUGAUUUUCGUCACCUCAGUAUCAAAGAUACAUUCAAUGUUAAUUUCUAUUUCGAUGUUGGUUUAUUUUGUUUUGAAAAUUGUUGGAAUUUGCAUUAAUUUGACUUAAAAAUUCAAGUUUUAUGUUAACCCUCUGAUUUGUGCAUUUGGGUUGAUCAUCUUCAUUUGUUAGUAAUAUCCAAAGAGUUAUAUGCAGGGGUCAAUUAAAUAGUAUAGUAUUUUGUCCGACGAGUUUAUUUGGAUGCAAAUGGUCUCAAAUUUUUGGUGGUUUUUUAUAUCUCUUUGGUUGCUUUUGGACUUUUUCUUUAUUAUUGUUUUUAAGUUUAGCAUGCUUUAGGCACCAUGAUUAUAUUUCGAUACAUGCAUGUUUGUGGGAU